rnacentral:lncRNA from 1 species
GGGGGAUGAGGAAUCCAGAAAAGAGAUUCCAUCCAGCAUAAAAGGCAGCGGCGACGACGGCAGAAAUGUUGUGAUUGGGAGUGACAGACACAACCAUCAUGCCAUAGAAGGUGAAGUACAGUAAUGUGAAGUACAUGAAAAACAAGUACCAAAAGAAUUUCGCGGCGGUCCAUUCAAAUCCAAUCAUAGCGUAGGUAAUGAGAGAAUAGAAUACAGCUUGUUUAAGGAUGUAUAAAAUCUCAAUUCCAACCUGGAGACAGCAAAACAAUUUAUCAGAACAAAAAAAAAAGACUACGCUCGUGAAGUGCCAUGCAACGUCUGAUAUUCAGGAAAUCGGCUCACCUGUGCAAAAGCAUAUGGCAAGGCAGAAUACAUUCCGGCUGCUCUCUCUCUGUAGAAUACCGUCCGUUCUAUAGCCACCACAGGUUGCACUGCUGCGGAGUUUUGCACCCCCAGGAAGAGAACAGCAGCAUACAUUGAACCCAUGGCAUUGAUAAGAUCUUGUGUAGUCCCCCUGCGUUACAACAAGCCAAUACGUUUAGUCAAUGGAACUUGUGUCGAAAUCAUGCUUCACAGGUUGUUUUUCAGGCCACAUAAUGUGAAGCGCUUGUUAACUUACUUUCUUUUACCCAGCUUCCAGAAGAUUGUCCCAAAUGACAGAGCAAUGAAGGAGGUGAAUAAAAAUCUCACGGCUGUAUAAGGUGGAUUGCGCCAGUAUGAUAUGCGUUGUUUCCAGAAGCAAGCCAUGCAUUGCACAGGGAACGCCUGAGAGUACUUGGUAGGGAAGUAGAGGUCUUUUGUACCAGGGCGCGGGCUAUCUAGUUCAUGAAUGAGUGCUUUGUUCCUCCUGGAAUUUGCAACAUAUACAGAGUAAAGAAGUGCAUACUAGAUUGAUGGUGUAUUCUGUCAUUGAAUAUUGGCGGCCCAAAGUAGCAUCAUCUGAUUUAGAGGCAGAAAUUGACUGUUGAAUAACUAAACUGACCUGUAUAAAUCAGAGUUUUUAUAGAUCUCAGCAAAAUCGGCUCCCAACAUAAGUUCUUGUGCUGAAGCAGUAACUUCCAACAUCCAGGUUGCUGGGUUGUAACUAUCUUUGAUUUUGCUGACUCCAUCAAUUGCCUGAAUUUGAAAGAAAAAUGAAUAUGUAGGAUUCUAAUUUGGAAAACAAGCUUUUCAAGUACUACAUGUUAAUCAGAAACUUACCUCAAAGUACUUAAUCAAUUCGAUGGAAUUGUGGCCAAGCGGCCCGACAUAUAUUUCUUGGCCUCCUCGCUUCAGAAGGAAUAACUGCAGAACCAUGUCCAGUUUUAGCAGUUCUCAUUAAUUCAAAAACCAAAAAGUACUCAAAAUUCUGAACAGAACAUUACCUCAUCGAAAGCUUCAAAUAUGUCAAUGCUUGGCUGAUGAAUGGUGCAUACUACAGUUCUUCCAGUGUCUACAGUAUUUCUCACAGUUCUCAUCACAAUUGCAGCAGCUCUUGCAUCAAGACCUGAAGUUGGCUCGUCCAUGAAUAUGAUUGAGGGGUUAGCCACAAGUUCAACGGCAAUAGUAAGCCUCUUGCGCUGCUCAGUUGAAAGACCGUUGACCCCUGGGAGCCCCACAAGUCCAUCUCUCAAUGAAGUAAGUUCCACAAGUUCCAUAACUUCCUCAACGAACAUCUGCAGAUAUUAGUAACAUGAAUAUGCACAUAAGACACUUGAUAAAGGAGACGCACAUUAGCAAGGUUUCAUAAAUUUGUCAGCAUUUUGAUUGUUAAGCCAAAACAGAUUGAGGGAUACAAACCAUUCUGGUUUUAGCAUCAACUUCUGCGGGCAGACGCAGCCAAGCUGAGUAAACUAGAGACUCAUAAACAGUAACGUGAGGAGAGUGGAUGUCAUUCUGCUCGCAGUAUCCAGAUAUCCGAGCAAAGGUCUCCUGAUUCUUUGGAUACCCAGAGAUUGUAACGUUUCCUUCAAUAUAUCCACCAGUUUUCCUACCAGCCAGCACAUCCAUUAAAGUUGUUUUACCGGCUCCACUGACACCCAUUAAAGCAGUUAAAACACCAGGCCUAAACGCUCCACUAAUCCCCUUGAGAAGCAUGAGUUUAUCUUCAACAGCACCCUGAUCUUUCAUUGCCUGCAGGUCAUUGAAAGAAUUAAGCAGUUAUUUCGGAGAUGGGUACUUCAAUGACUAAUUAUUAGCAGUAGCAGUAGCUGCUUAUAAAUCAUCAACACAGGAUUCCUCUCGGAAAGUUUGAACUUGUAACUUGUCCAAGUACCUGUGGCAUGUCAACUGAGUAUCUUAUGUCGUCAAAGGUAAUUGAAUGCGGUUCAAAUGGAAGAAUCAUUCCUCUUCUCCGAUUCUCAUUGGACUCAGUGAUGGCAUCUGCCCACGUAAAAGUAAACCUUUAGAAACCACACAAGGUAGAGGCAUCAUUACAUCCAUAGGCAUCAUUACAUCCCUAUGCAACUUACCUACGGAGCCAUCUCUUUGGCCAGAAUUUUCAGUGUUUUCACUUUCUUCUGGUAGAACAGCUUGAGGCUUCCCGAGUGCUGCAAAAGUUUUGUCUAAUUAUUAGUACCUGACCUUCAAAUGAUUUCAACUUACUAAACAAAAACAAGACUCACGCUGAAGAUAAGUGAGAGCGAGGGUAUAGAAGAAAUUUAACAGGAGAAUGAAUCCACCACACGCUCCAAGUCCGAUCCAGUACCAGUAUGAUUGAGGGAAGAAUCCUUUAGAUUUCAAGACUUGAGCUCCCAAUGUUUCAUUUGUAUUUGGCACAAUCUAUGCGAGUACAGAAUAUAAUAAGAAGUUAGUCCAAAUCCCAGAUUCAGAAAUUCAGGAACCAUGCAAUUGCUGAGCAUAGUAAUUUACUUGUCUCCAGUGCUUUCCCGUAAAUUCGUUAACAAGAAUUGCAUUCUGUGCAUACAUCAAUGGUGAGGACCAGUAACCCCACAACCACCAUUUCUUCACUUGAUCUGCAUCAUUCCAUAAAAUAAGAAAAACAAAAGCAAAUAUCAGUCACUUUUACUGAUUAUGAGGAGAACAGAGAUUUGACUUUGAAUUCGGAGCAUUACCUCUUGAUAAGACAAAUCCACCCAAUGCAAAAAGCAGCAUCAAUGCGAAUGUCCCAAAUGUGUUAGCCACAAUCAUGUUCCUGGAAGCUGCCCCAAUGAAUCUAAACAAUGCUGAUGCUACCUGAUUUAUAGCGACCAGUAUCAGGUAGUGUUUGAAAAACCUGCAGCAAACGUACCAGAUAUGAAAAAUGCGGACCUUUACAAUAAAAGUUACUGAGCAAAGUUAGUUUGAUAGUUUACUUUACUAUAGAAGUUACUGAGCAAAGUUACUUAGGUAGUUUACCUCGCAGGGCUUGGAUCAAAUCCAAUGACAUAGUAGGUCAUAACUACCCAAACAGCAACUUCAAGAAAAGUGAUGGGUAUCUUGAGAAUCCAUGUGGGCAGAGCAUACGACCAGGCAGGAAAAAACCGGAAGUCCCUUUGCUUGAAGAAGACCGGAAGCUUGAGAAUUGUCAUCGCCAGUUCGGACAUUCCAUUAAACAUGACCUGAACGACCGAGAAAAAUAGAGCACCAAGAUAUAUUCCUCCAUCAACAACAUUUCUUCUUGGCAUUUUAGUCCUAAAGAACACUGUCAUUCCGAUAAGGGCCAUCAUGAUUAGCUGAGAGAUUUUGAAAAUGUAGAUAAAGGAGUUUCUCUUUAUAAGCAAGAGUUCUCUAGCGGAGUUGGCUUUAAAAAUCUCUUUAUUGUUAACACCAUAGGUUUGGGUAGUCAAAGCGGCUGGAUGACUUUUGCUCUUAUCAAAUGGUGUUGCAAGUUCAUUUGCUAGUGUCCUUCCAACAUGGAAUGAUUGGAAUGACUCGGCAAAUUCAGUCGCAGCUAUAUAUCUGUAGGGUUCGUCUCUACGUGCCCAGUACUGCUGCUGAUCUUUCUUUGAUGUAACCUGCACAAAUAUGUAAUUUUAUGUUAUAACUGGAUAAGGGGACUCAAAAAUCGAUGUUAUUAUAAAUGUUUAUUUUACAAUAAAAGCAUACUUCUUGCAAGAAGUCAGCAACUCCUUUCCUCUCCGGGCAUCGGAAACCCAUAGAUUCAAAAAAUUCAAGAACAUUUUCUCGGGGGCCCUGGUAAACAAUCAGGCCAUCGGAUAAGAGGACAAUAUCAUCGAAGAGGUCAUAUGUCUCAGGAGCCGGCUGCAGGAGUGAAAUGAACGCAGUUCCCUUCAUAAUAUGCACAUAUUGUCUGAGGGAAUUCACAAUCUGGAAAGUAGUAGAACUAUCUAAUCCAGUUGAUAUCUCAUCCAUGAAUAGUGCAUUUGUCGGUCCAACAAGCAUUUCACCUGAAAUUUUAAGUAAACCAUCAGCUAAGUUUAGGGCUGUAAAGUCUAAACAGGGCUUGCUCUGGUUUAUUAGACGUAUGGUUCAGUUUUUACCUGUUGUCACACGCUUCUUUUGUCCUCCAGAGAUUCCUCUCAGCAUUUCAUCUCCCACCAGAGUGUCUGCGCAAAUUUCCAGUCCCAAAAUCUGCACAACAAUGAAAAAAUGAGUACUUAUUUUGCGGUUUCAUGCUGUUGUAAGACUAAGAGGAAUCUAACGAGAUACGGUACCCGAAGAACAUAAUCUGUGACAACAGUUGCUUCUUGGCCUUCAGUAGCCGCAGACUGGAAUAACCAAAUAGAAUAUGUGAAUCACUAAAUGGACAAACUAAAAUUGCUUUGCUGAUUAGUUCAACUAUGACUAGUGUUAUUUCUUUCUGACCUUCAUGUAUAUAUCAAUAUCGGGAUCAGGCUUGAUAUUUGCUGCUUUUUCUCUUCUUGACAACUCCGCCAACAUCUCUGCAAUUUUUUUUUAAAGAAGAAUGAAUAUACUUAAUCACCAAGUAAACAUAAAAGAGCAAGAAGUAGGAGUAAUCUCCUGACUAACCAUAACGAGAUCCAACGCCUUGGCACCUGGCAGAAAAUGCUAGAGUUUCUCUCACAGUCAUUUCUCCAAUAUGGAGAUCAUGUUGACUAACAUACGCAGCAGUUCUUUGGGGUACAAAUUCAUUCAUGCCGUGCCCAUUGUAAGUAAUCCUUCCAGAAGACUGGUGUGAAAAAAGAAAAGACGUUAGUGCUUUCAAUUAAGAAACUAGCUUCAUAUCGGACGUUAAUUCCAGCAGUGUAGUUGCUGUAGAUUUACCUUCAAAUCGGGGUCAAGCUUUCCAGCCAAAGCCAUCAAAAGUGUUGUCUUUCCAGACCCUGGAGGACCUAAUAGUAAUGUCAUUCUGCAAAGACAAGAUUAAAGAGUUGAACAAGAGACAAUUAUCUUCAAAUAUUGAAGUCACGUACAGAUAUAAAACCCCUGAAUUAGGCCAUGUUUGAUUUCAUUAGUAAUCUGCUUUCUUACCUUGAAGGCUUGAUAAUUCCACUGACAUCGCGAAGUAUUUUAAUAUUCUUCUUUCUGCUUGGAAGUAUGUGAAGAUUGUUCAAGAGCCCCUUUUGAAAAGGUAAAAGAAAAAAAGGAAGAGCGGGGAAACAGACAAGUUAGAUCAAAGCAUCCGUUGCAUGCUUGAAGGUACAAAUAAUCUAAAACAAUUAUAUGUUUCAUAUAACGGAAAAGCAGGUGAUGAAUAACAAGAUUUACCUCUAUCAUAUUGGUAGCGAAGUUAAGGAAGGUAGGCAGAGCACUACUUCCUACAUAAGCUUCUGCCUCAACAUUUAGAUGCUCAUAUCUUACUUCAAUUGUAGGCAAAUCGAUUCCAACUCUAAAGUUAUACCACAGCGAAAACCAAAAAAAUCCAUCAUUUAAAAGAUCAAAUUUUUGGUUGAUUUAUUUGUUGAAAGAUACAAAGUGAAGAGAGCAAUCAGCAGAAGUGGUAGUACCUAUCAAUUCUGUUCCUCAGUUUCAUCAAGAAUUUCUCAUUAUCCUCUUCUGCAACCUUGAUGAGCCUCUCAAUGAGAGUUUUUCUUUCUUGAAAUCCAAAGUUCUCUACAUCCACUUCAUUGACUUCACCUCGUGAUCCAAAGAGCAGCCCUUUUCUCAGUCUAUCAAAGGUUGGUAGCUUUUCAAGGGAAGCCCAUUUCAGAGCGUCUUCAUCAUCUUCGUCUCGCGAUGAACGUGAAAACACUUCCAGGCCUGUAUUCCUCCACAAGGCUGAGCUGUUAGCUCUUAAACUACCUCUUAAACUACCGCUCGGUCCUAUCUCCAUUCUGAUCCCAAGUGCGCACAAUAUGCAACACUAGGCCAGUAAAACGUCUUCAAAAACAGCUCGAGAAUCCUCGAAACUUGGCAGGCUUGAAUCAAAAUCUUAGCAAUUCAGCCGCCUUGAUCAAAAGGGAUGACUACUCAGUUCCUAGUCUCUUUCUUUCUUUCUCUUUCUUUUUUUUUUUUUUUUUUUUGCAACUGUUAGUUCAAAGUACGCCCCUAGCUGCAGAAGGCGUGCAAUUACAGUUUGAGAAAGAGUUGGGAGACGAAGAAAAGAACGUAAUAUUUUGAAGGGGGUUUGAGUUGGAGAGUAUUUAUAGAGUUGUUAACUUAUGAGGUUGUUAAAUUGUUAAGUUGAACGAAGACCGGCGGCUCGUAUAUCUUGAAAUGUACCCAUUUCUAGAAUACGUGAAUUAGGCAGGGGGGAAUUUGGAUCAAAUAUUUUUCUCCUGUGUGCGUGGAAAAUGGGAACAUCAUUGUUGACCAGUGACCCAGGCUCCUUCCUCUGCCUUUCGGAUAAUUUCAACGGUCAAAAUAAUAAACCCACAGGUCUUGGAAGAUUCUUGAUCAUAAAUAGUGGCAUUAAGUUGGCUUCUAGCUCUUUUUUUUUUGUGCACUAAGUUGGCAUUAAGUUGGCUUCUAGCUCUUCACAUCAUGCACAUGGUUGUUUUAGAAGAUCCCUAGUGUGAUUGUUUAGAUUUACAGUGUAGAAAAGUACUCCUCUUUUUUUUUUUUUCUUUUUGAGUUUUCUUUCCCUUUCCAAACGGGAGACUGAUUAAUUUAGUCAGAAAAAUAGUCGGAAUAAUGAAAUUAUUUCAAAUAUUUUCCAACCCACCUUGAAUAGUAAAUUUAUUUCAAAUAAUAUUUCACUUGCAUCAUAAAUUCAUUUUCUAAUUCAUACUUUUAUAUUUUCAAUCAUCUUUUUAUCUCACAUAUAUCACAUCAUAAAAAGUGUUACAGUAAUUAUUUCAAAUAAUACUCUGUCCAAACAAACCCAAAGACAGCCGACUCUCUGUGUAUUUUUGUCUGCCUCAGUGGUCAUCGUGUUUCCCUCAACUUGAUUCCGAUUCCUUAAAAAGUUGUAAUCUUCGAACUUGAAAGGAAUAUCUUAUACUCCCUCCGUCCCGUUUUGUUAGUCUUGUUUUCCUUUUUUGUCUGUCCCAAAUUGUAGUCCACUUUCCUAGUAAGGAAUGUAGUAAUCUUUCAAAUUGUCUAAAAUACCCUUAUUAAAUAUCUUGUUAUUAAUACAUUGUUAUUAAAUACUAACCCACUAUAUUGAAUACAUUGAGCUUUUCCAAUACAUAGAUAAAUGAAAAGUCUAUCUUUGUUAUUUAUUGGCACUAUUGGCGGUAAUUGAAACAAUCAGGGUGUAUUGGCGGUAACUGAUAUUUAUUGGCACCAUUAGCUGUAACUGAUAUUAAUUGGCACUCUUCGUGAUUAGCAUAAGGGUAUUUUAGGAAAUUAUUAAUCUAAAUUUAUGUUUCCAACCAAAUUAAUUACACUUUCUUAAUCUGUGUGAAAAAAAAAUUAAGACUAACAAAACGGGACGGAGGGAGUAAUAAAACUAAUUGGAGAUUGAUUUUGUUGAGGGUGCUUAGUUGUCACUCGUGUCCGUUCCCUCUUUCGCUUAUAAAUUAUAAUAAUCCUUUCAACACUUCUUUUGUACCCUAGUCAAGAUUGGUAGAUAGUUCUUUUAAAGUAAACCACAUGCCAAAAUGAAAUUAAUCGACCAAUUGAAAUACACAAGAGAUACAAAUAAAUAGAAUCCAAUAUCCUUUAAUUUCUUUGUAUUUUCGUUCACGGCAACUAGAAUUACCCAACCAAAUCAUCAAGUUCAUGGUGCUUGUGGCCUUGAAAUGGAAUUUUCUCUCCUCCUAAAUUUUUGUAUACCAAAAAUAGAAAACAACCACUUCUAGAACAACCAAGGGCAGCAAAAGAGUUUUAUAAUUACAUGCUUGCCAAAGGCGAAACCAGCGUAUAUUUGGUAAAUUCUUGCCUACAAGAAUAUAUCUUGGAAGUUGGAAGCAUGUUUUUAUCGAGGAGUUAUCUCCCAUUUUAUGCAGUUAAUAGAUGUUUGUGACUCCAAAAAAAAACACACACACACACACUUAAAAAGUGUGUUUGGAUAGAGGAUUAUUUGAGACAAUUUUUUGAGAAAAAUACUGUAACAUUUUUUUUUUGAUGAGAUGUAUAUGAAAUAAAAGAAAAAUUAAAAAAUCUAUUGAUGAUACAAGUAAGUAAAUCAGUGUAUGUAAAUAAGAUGCAAACCAAACUAAUUAUGGUUGUUGCUGCAUGAUUAGACUCUGGCUGGCUUUUACUACAAAACAAAAUUUAACACAGUAUCUGCUGUAUUAAUCUGGAUCUAUUUUUUUUUAUUGUUUUAUUUGAUAAUUGAUACCAAUGAGAGAAUGUGUACAGCUACAAGCAGUAGAUAAAUCAGCAUCGCUUUAGGGCGGCUCGAACAUGCAAAACAUCCAUUGUCCUUGUCAAUAAUUUUGGUUGUGGGGUAUUGAUGUUUGUUUAACGAACUGAAUUAGAAUCCAGAGCAUCUCUCAAACAACUUUGUCCGUGAUUAAUUGUUUUUGUUAAAAAAAACAUUUAUCUUUUUUUUUUUAAGAAAAAUAUUUGCUUUUCCAUUCCGAAUAAUUACUCUUUUAACUCCGAUUUAUGAGUGAGACAACAUGCUAGUGACAUCAAGAAGUAGCUAAGGGAAAAAGAUAAGGCAGAAAUAUUAGUGGAUAAAGCUUUCCAUAAAAUUAGAUGACAUUAACCUGUCCCGAGUAUUCAUUUGCAUUAGAGUUUUCUUUUUUCAGAAAUUCCAAAUAUUUACCUCGUCGAAGAUUAACUUAUGGAUUAACAAUUGGAAUCCACAUAGUCCUUUGAUUGAAGCAAAACAUCAGAGGUAACUUGGUUUUAAUUUGGCAUGGUUUAAACAGUAUACUCUUUGGCAUGCUUUUAUCGUGUGGUUGGAUUGUAAGAAACAGGAUAGCAAUUAAAGACAGGUUAUUGUGAUGGGGAGUUGUUUCAGAAGGAUGAUGUUCUUCAUGCGCCUAUAUGCAAAUGAUUCACUGGAGCACCUGUUUUUCUCUUGUGAAUAUAUAUAGCUUAUGUUUUGGGGAGAGUUCGAAGGCAUUUUUGCUUGUUAUAUAUGGGAUUUAUGGUUGUUCUCAAGAACUUAAUUCAACAUAUUAAUAGGGAUGGCAAUAGGGGCGGGUGACCCGCCCCGCGGGGGGCUAAUGGGGAGGGGGUUGGGGCAGGGGCGGGGGGAAUUUUUUUCCCCCCGCUUAGAAACAGGGCGGGGGCGGGGGGUAACCGCCACCUGCUUUAAAAAAAUAAAUAUAUAAAAUAUAUAUGUAUAUAAUUAUAUAUAUAAUAUAUAAUUUAAUUAGUUACAAACUUAUGAUAAUGAUAUUAUUAGUUAUAUGUAUUAUAUAAUGUCUAUUAGUAUAUAUAAUAUAAUUGAUAUUAUUAAUUAUACUAAUAAUUAUAUAUGUGUACUAAUACAAAUUAUUAAUUGGUUAUACUAAAUUUACUAAUACAUUUAUACUAAAUCCCUAAUUACACUUAAUACAACAACAUUUUUUUCUUAAAAAAAGCACAAGCACAAUAAUGAAUUAGUGAUUGUAUUUGUGCCAAAAGUGAAAACUUGACUACUUUAGUUAUAUUUAUUUCAUCAUGUUGGAUUGUAUUUAAAUAAUUUUUAUUUGAUUGUUUUUGUAAGUUUCAAUUAUAAAAUUACAAUGAAUAAUAAUUUGAUGAUGUGUUGAUAUUUUAGUACUUGAUUAUUUGUUAAAAUUUAACCAUAAUAAAAUUAUAUAACAAAUUUUUAUUAGUCUCGCAGGAGCACCCGCGGGGAAAACGGGGCGGGGGGAGCGGGGGACGGGGGAUGGAGGAGGGGUCCCCCAUCCCUACAUAUUAACUAUGGUUCUUUUAUCACUAUGGUCUGUAAAUGUGCUUUUGCAGUGACUAUUUAUAUUUUAUACCCCCUAUGGAGAGAGGAACAGAAGGCUGCUUUGUAGAAGCACUAUGGCUGCAGAUGCUAUCAUUCAAUCAAUUAUGCAGAUGAUUGGGAAUAUUGUGUAAAUUAGGAGUUUAGUUACAAUGGAAUUUUGUUCCUGAUGUCUUUCCUUUGAAUCAGAUUAUAGUGCAGGAGUUUUACUGCUUUGUGACUGCAUAUUGCUUUUUCUAAUAAAAGUUUAUUAAUCGCCCGAGAAAAAAUAAAGGCCAUGGCUCGUCAAAUCUUGAUUUGCUCCUACGCUAUUGCUGUGCCUAGAGAUUGGCAAUAAUGUUUGAAUUUGUAAAAAUUUAGCCUAAUUUGAAACUUUAACUCAUUUUAAUCUGUCGCGCACUCUCAAAAUACUAUGACACUCAUAUGUAAAUUACAUUAGAAAAGAAAAUUUUGGAAGAUACCAUGUAAUUGCAAGGAAGAUAAUGGAAAUUAUGCUUAUUUGAUGAAUUUCUUAGAGGGCUUAAUCCUAAAAUCCGAAAAAAUAAAUAAAUAAUUUCUAUCCUAGUUUUGUUUUAAAGGAAAAAGAAGGAAAAGAAGACCAAAACUUUUAGGGUAAAGUACAUAAAACCCCCAUGUGGUUAAGGAAAUUGACACGAAACCUCCUCAUUGUUUAGAAACUCUCACUUAACCCUCCUGUGCUUUGGACUUAUUUGAAUUUUACCUGCUAACCGGCUGAGGAGCCGGUAAUAAUAUGAAAUACCAAAAAUACCCUCAUAUAUAAUAUGUGAAAAGUUACAGAUGCAACGAGUCAAUCUGGAGCGGAUGAAAGAAACUGAGAGAGAAACCGGGUUAUUCUCUACCUUGGACAUAGUUUGGAUUAUUCGGUCUUUCAGCUGAAGUAGUUCUUCAGCCUCGGACAGGGGACGCCUUAGGUUCUCUGGAAGAUUUCUAUUUUCCAGAAAUAAGUGUUCUUGGAUUUCCACCAGCGGCGGAGUAGGAAAGCGAGGCACGGAAAAGUGGUGGAGUUGGAAAUUUUGGGAAAGGGUUUUUUGCAAUCCAUCCCAGUCAAUCUCUGGAUGCCGUGGAACUUCAAUCCCCGGUUGACCCAAAUGCAAGUCCAGAUCAAGAUCCCCCAAAUCAGCAUGAGGAAUGGCCUGUUCCAUCGCAUAGGCCACCGGCAGCGGCACCAUAGACAUGAGAAUGAAAGCAAAGGGAAGAAUCUUUGCCGGUCCAUUCACGACGAAGAGUUACCAAAAAACAGCCAAAAUACUGCAAAGAAAGCAAAGGGUCAAGCAUAAUUAGCAAGGAAGACAAACGGUUGAUGAGUAAACCUUGAGCAGGAGCUUUAUCCGAAUGCCAAAGGCAAUAGAAAAGCCCCUUCCACAGCCUUUUCAUAUCAUCCUCGGGAAGUUCGGUUUGAGAGUCUGACAGCCAAGCUUGAAUUAGCUUGAGGGAUUGGGAUUUGAUUGAGGCGUUGCAAGAGGCUAAGUGCUUAAUCAAGGACGGCCCAGGUAGGGCUGAGAGGGUUGCUAAAAAGGGUUUCGGCUUUGGGGUUCGUGGAGGAAGCAGUAGACGUGGUUCCCGUUUUGUCCUUGGCUUUGAUUUUCUGCAUUUUCUGGGUUGCGGUUUCAGAUUGGGAAGCAGUAGACGUGGUUUUUGCUAUUUUUACAGGCUUGGAAAAUUUGCUAACUAAUCCUUAGACUAUUUAUGAAGUUUUAAUAUGGUGCGACUUUUGAUUUACAACUGUUUGCUCCUCCAGCUGCCCAGUAAUAACUCGCAUCGCUCAGCAAUACAGUUACCUUCUUCCGUUUUGCAUCUUUGGCCCUUCCCGUCCAAACUUUGGGUCUUCGUUUUGCAUCUCUGUCGAAAUUUUUCAUUUGCAGAUCUACAACUAUGGUGGGUGCAAGCUUGGAAGAGACAUGGAGGACAAAAUUGGAAUGAAAUGAGUUUCUGCUAGACACAAGUUACCAUUAAGUCGCGUAAAUAUCACUCGCUAGCUCUCCAGCCGGUUAGCAGGUAAAAUCCAAACAAGUCCAAAGCACAGGGGGGUUAAGUGGGAGUUUCUAAACAAUGAGGAGGUUUCGUGUCAAUUUCCUUAACCACAGGGGGAUUUUAUGUACUUUACCCAAACUUUUAUGGCUUUCAUGGGUUCAAGUUUCGUCCAUUCGCGGACAUGCGCAUCCAUCCAAGUCUGCUUUUCGGAAGCCGAGUCCGUUCAUCAAUUUUGGGCGAAAAGUGUGGCUCGAAAUGGACAAGCUGCUUGCUUCGUACUGGUUUUUCCAACCCAUCCAAGGUAAUUCUGACGUGGCUCAGUGGGCUUAUGAAAAAUUGCCUGAUAUGAGACACUUAUGAGGUUUUCUAAUUUUGUUUGAUGUUGGACCGGCCUAGCGCUAAACUCAAACCCAUUUCAGCUUCUCGGUCCAUGCAUCUUGCAAGUUUAUUUUAUUCUACUGCUUCUUGGUCCAAGCAAAUUCUUCUAGGAUAUCUUUAAAGUUUAAUCCAUAUUUGUUUCUGUAAUUUGAAUUGCACUUUAAAACGCCAAAGGCAAAGAUUCAUGGCCGGUAAAACGAAGGCCAUGAGGUUAUAUACUUAAAAACUUAAUUGCCAAACAAGUUGGGUUUUAGGACAUGCUGUCCAAUGACUAGCUUGAUUCGACAUCCUUUAAUUUCUCCAUGAGAUACGAAAGUUUCAGUGCAAUAAGUGUGCCUUUUGACAAUGAGGAACACCAAAAGUCUUUAGGGCUUGGUGAGUGGGAAGCCAACCUUAGCUCUCAUCAUUUGCUAUUUUACGUGGUUUGUCAUUUUAAGUUAUUUUUUUUACAUUCAUACGGAUUUGUAGUGUACCCGUUUGAUCUGAUGAUGGUUGAAUUUUUGUCGAUUUUCCUGUAGAUUCGAUUGGACUUCCCCUAGAAUAGGCUAAAAUAAGAAUAAGAGUAGGUAUAAGAUAGAUAAGCGACAAUUGACAAAAAAAAUAAUAAUAAAGGACCAUGAGGAACACCAGAAAAUUAUAAAAGUCCAUUCAAACACACCCUUGGUCCACACUCUACUCAGUAUUCAACGUUCAAAUUUCAAGUUUCAAUCCAACCAAAGGGCUUUAUUUUCAUUUUCCACUCACCACUCGCUGCACCACAAACUAACAUCAUAAUUCUAGAAAAUGACAUAGAAAUUCAUAGUCAAAGCACAUCCAUUGGAUUCUUUGCAACAAAAUACUUGUAAUUAGGAUCAUCAGACUCCACAGUAGGUUUUGACAAAAAAAAAAAAAAAAAAAAAAGACUCCACAGUAGGAUUUAAUUCGACACUUGGAUUUCUGCCCCUCCUUAGUCAAGCAGAAUAGAAGAUACUUGUAGGGAUCGAAUGGCUUGUGCUGCAACGGAUGCUCAUCAUCAACUAGCUUUUCUAGUACUUGAACCAUCACGUCCCUUGUGAAUGCAAAUAGGCUGAGGGAAUAUCUUUCUUCACUCCCUGAAUUUUUACCCGAGGAAGUGGAGGUUCGAUCCUGCCAUUAGUCCAUGCCUAGAAAGGCCAAAUUAAAACAACAUUUAGAUUGAAAAUUAAGUCAAGCCAGUUUUAAGCAUAGUUAUUAAACCCGACCCGACCCGACCCGGCGGUUGAACCAGUCAAAUUUGUGGACCCGCCAUAAAAUCGGGCAGGAUUGAUAAUUGGAUCGGAGUUGCAGAUGACUCGUUUGGAAUUGUUUGACCCGAACAGUCAAACUAAUGACCUGCCAAACCCGGCAAUUUUUUAUGAAUCCAGCGGGUUUCGAAAUUUUUUGAAAUUAUCGUUUUACCCAAUUUAUUAAUUUAACUGCCCAUAUCAGCAUGGGCAUUUGUUGUCUUUUUAACAAUUAGAUGAGAAAAAUUGAAAAGAAAUUUAGGAUUUAGGAUUUUUUUUCUUUCUUUGACACUUAGAUUUGUCAUUUAUAUUUGUGUAUAAUAUCAAUAUGAAUUAUUGAAUUAAGGAACACGUAUGGGUAUGAAUUAUGAAAUAUGAAUAGGUUAUGGUUUAUUAACAUUUAAGAAUUUUUGUACUUAUAUUAUAAUUUAUAUGUUUAUUUAAUUAUAUUAUAUAGUAUGAUCCGACGAUUCAACCAGUGAUCUGUCGGUUGAAUCACUGACCUGCCAACCUGAUCCUCCAAUCAGGUUAUGAUUUUAAUAAUUAUGAUUUUAAGUAUUACAACUAGUGUAAAUGUCAUAAUAUAUAGGUGUAUACAAAAUGAUUAUAUAUAUAUAUAUAUAUUUAACUUCCGGUAAAUAUGUAAAACGAAUGAAGGUCAAGAAGGCCGUAGUUUAGUUACGAAGAUUGAGAUUUAGGAAUUAGAUCUUGUUUGGAUUGCGGUUUAUUUGUCAAAAUAUAUUUGCUUACAUCAUCAUUACAAUUUCCAAUACACCUUUUUAUCUUUCCAAUUACCUUUUUAUCUCACAUACAUCACAUCACAAAAAGUGCUAUAAUAAAAAUAUCUCUAAUAAUUCACAAUCCAAACAAUUGAAUUUAAAUUUUCUGUUCCUCCGAGCACUUCUUAAAUCUUACUCUCUUAAAGAAGCAAAAAAAAAAAAAAAAAAGUGGUAGAGCGAAGAAAGUAAUGGGACGUGGCAUACCAUACAUACAUCCCCCGCCAUGACAAUGAAAGAAGAAGGAGAUAAGGAAUCAAUAAGCAUCUAUCCGCCAUUCUUGGUCUUGAUCUCUAGACCAUUUACUUGUGCUUGAUGAAGACUGGACCUGAAGGUCCGGUCAGUGUGAUGGAAAAGACCGACAUUGCUUUCAUCUUCUCGGGGCCCCCUGUAAUUGAUUAGCCUAAAAAGGUAGUAAAUGGAUCCGAGAAGUGAUUCACAAUCUUUCUCUACACCGUAAGUCUCUGCCACCAUCCUCAUCACCACAUGAUAUAGUUCAGCAACAAGCUUUGAGUACGAGAGUGUUGUGUCACUGUUCAAUUCAAGAAAUCAUAACCCUGAAAAGCACUAGUAAUUUAACAUGUCAAGUGAAAUAACCACUCCACUGAUUAACUGAUGGCAGAACACGCAUUCACACAUUUAUAAAUGAGUACACACCUAAAAUGAUUGUUUCCAUUGCGCCAUAAGACGUUGGUGAAUUUCUGAACUCCAUCAAAAGUUGUGCCAUUUUCGAUGCCCAAAGCUUCGAGCAAAAGAAUUCUACGGUGUCCGAUCUAGCCAUGAGAAGGUGAAUCAGAAAGUGUCGAGGACUUUGGUUUCCGUCGGGAGAUCAAACAACUCCAGGGAUGCACGAAAGAUAGCCUGGUGAAGUUCCAAGGAAACCUUACCGUAGUUCGCUAUGAAACAGCCAUACUCUUCCAGGGCUCAAACAACUUCUUCCCGUGUCGAGAGCCAACGAGUAGAACUGGGAUUCAAGGUUUGCCCAGUGAAGUCUAGAACAGGAAGCUGGUUUUGCCUUGAUACAGAACCCAUGAAAAGAAUCGAGUAUCCUGUUGGUAGCUGGCUUUGCUCGGAGUUUUCCUAGUUUUAGAAAUGGCAAAGGAAAAUCUUUGGUAUAUGCUAAUAGCUAAGUACUACUACCAUUCAAUUCACGCGUACGAUACUUAUAAUUGUGGGUGGAAAAGGGUGUUAUGGCAUGUACUCCACUUUCUUUCUCCUUUUUUUUUGGAUAAUUUUUGUUCACCUCUAAUUGCUCUCGUAAUAUAGAGCAUCUGGUAGCAUUUUAUUCAUGAUUAGUGCACAAUACUGAAGUACAGUGAAGGCGUUAAGCAUUAAUUAAUGGAAAGCUAAGUACAUGGAAUGCCUUCAGCAUUUUAUUCAUUAUUAACUAUUAACUAUUGAUAAUUUGAUAUGGUAGAAUAAACGUCCUUUCCAACAUAAACUCAAAAAUCCCCUUUCCUACAGCAGUGCAGCUUAUCUGCUGUUCCUACAAGGCUACAACUCGGGACGGCUCCCUUCGAUACAUUGUCCCCUUGGAGUCACUACUAUUUUAAACGUAUUCAGAUGCGGUAAGAAGCCUUUUGGGUAGAGUAGUUGGACAUUGGGUAUAGGUCAUGGAAUCAAAAUCUCUUAAUUUGUAUUCUAUAAAUUCGGCUUAUAUUCUAAAAAUUCAAGAUUUCCUGAAAAUUUCAUCAGAGUGCAUAGGAUCCCCUAUUAUAAAGUAAGAAUAUGUAUAGAAUAAAAUCUAUCGUAUUAAAAAGAAAAAGAAAAAGAAGCCUUUUGGAUCGUGAUCUUGCAAGUUGUAAUAUCAUAUCUUGUUACUAUCAGAUGGGUCAUGAGGGACUCCAAGGCAAUGAGAAAAAAAAAAAAAAAAUCUCCUCAUAAUAAUCCUAACUUGUUUUAGGAUAAAUUGAGUCACAACUCACACAUGAUUCAAUGCCUCAUUCUUUGGCUUCAUAACAGCUAUACUUGAAAUGCUUUUUGAUCUUAAUAGACAUCGUCUUAGUAACUAGGCAUGUCAUGGGCAAUGUUUGAAUUAUAUCCCUUUGAUCCAGAUUCAAGCUCAUUAAAUUUAGUUAGACCCAAUGUCAAACCCUUUUGGGUCUGAGAAAAAAAGUCCAUACCCAAAUUCUCUUGAAUUUGGGUAUCCAUUAGGUAUUCGUUAUAUUUUUGUAAAUGUACUAAAAUAAAAAUAUAUUAAAAAUAUAUAGAUUUCAAAAAAAUAUAUAAACACCAUCCAAUUUUUAUUUUCAAAUAAUAAAAUUAAUAUUCAAAAAGUUGAAUGCAAUGUUAUGAACUCAAAAAAAUAACUACUAUCAACUACUUUUAUUUAUUUUUAAGGAAAAAUUUCAGAUAUCUCUCCCGAGGUUUCUAACAGUCUCACUCCCUCCCCCUAAGGUUUCCAAAAUAUCACAAACUUCUCCCGAUAGACUUUUGGGUUCUAUUUCUUUCAUCAUCAUAGUCAAAAAGACUUAAAUACCCACACAACUUAGCAAAUAUUUUGUGAUUAUCUAAACAAAUUUAGUUAAGUUAGUUAUAAACACAGUUAAAGUAAUUAACAAUAAAUUAUGUUCCUUUAAUGAAUACAUAAAAAGGCUUUAGCAAAAUGACGCCAAAAUAUGGCGCCAAUUGGUAUAUAUAUAAAGCUGCAGGUACAUAUUGUCACUUCUCCUUAGUCUCUUCCAGCCAUUUUUGAUCAUUUGCAAAGAAUGACCUUUUUCCAUGGCGGUAGGGAUUGAAUCUUGCUUAUAAAAAGAUGAUUCCAUUAGCUACUAGGCGGUACUGCUGCCACCACAUUUGCAGCAACUUUAGGCUUCAGUUUCCUGGACUAUUAUUGAACGAUUUAUUCUGGAAAGCUGCUAAGAGCUAUGAUGCAAUAGGUUACAACGAAGCAAUAAUGAGCAUUAAAGACAUUAAUGUAAAAGCAUGGAGAUACUUAUCAAAGAUUUCACAUGAAUCUUGGAUUAGGCACGCAUACUCAAAUGAGAUGAAGUGUGAUAUGUCACAAAUAAUUUUACUGAAUCUUUCUUCAUGCAUAGCUUCACUUACACCCCUUCAAGUUUUAUUUUUGGUAAACUUCCUGUUUAUUCUUCAUGUGAUAUUAGCUCAUAAUGCAAGACAAUGAGGUCAUAGUUGUUUCUCUCUCCAACUCCCCAUUUUUUGUUGUUACUUUUUUUGAAAUGGGUUGGAUUUGAGAAUGCCUAUUUAGUUUUAGGGGAGGUUUGUGAUAUUUUGGAAACCUCAGAGGAGGUAUCUAAAAUUAUCCCUAUUUUUAAAGCUUCGACUAUAUUUACAUUUCAUCUUUCAUUUAUUUGCCUUUAUUUUUUCUCCUUUUUUCUUAAAAAGUUUGUACAAAUUAUAAUGACAACUAGAUUGAAAAAAGAAAAUAAUCAUGAAGUCUUAUUGUAUUCAGUCCAAUAACCAUAGAAUAUUAGAAUAUUAUAUAAAUUUACUAAUAUAUAUAAUUUAAUUAUAUAUAUAUAUAUAUAUAUAUAUAUGAAUCUGGAUAGAGUCUGGUGUGGGUUUGAAUUUAGAUAUAAAUAAUAAAAAAUCAUACACUAUCCAGACCCAUAACUUUUUUACAGGGCUUGGGUCUGGGUAGGGUUUAGAUCUGAGAAAUUAAAUUCAAACCCUACUCAAGUACAUUGGGUUUGAAUUGGAUCUAAAUAAGGUCCGAUCCAUUGACAUGUCUAUUUGUAACUAUAAACACACACACUUGCGUGUAUUAUUCCCUUGUAUUUAACAAAUUUAUCUAUUUAACUUCAUUCUAUUAAAAAUAUAUUAUUAUUUCUCACCAGUGCCCGCAAGUUGUUUGCUAACAAGCAAGUUUUUUACGCUGAUUCAGAUAAGACUGAUAUGUUUUUCUCUUUAACUCUCCUUGUAAUAUCUUAUUUCUACCAAUGCAGUUUUCACAUUAACAAUAAAAUUAAGUUCUAUUCUGCUUACCUCUUGUUAGAAGAAUCUUUUCCAAUCUUUUCUGUGGGAAAUACCGAAGGUUACCUUGAUAUUUUUAAAAGUCAUUGGUGAAGAAUUUAGUAAACUCGUCCUAUUGGUCUAUCGUUCAGAAGGAAAAAUUUCAUCAUCUUUUAUGAGCAAGGGUUUAUUUUCAAUGGCUUUGAUUCAAACGAACAAGGCUUACCUCAAUGUUUCUAAUCUUUUUGAAUAAUUUUGAUGAUGGGGUCCUUAAAAUAUUUUGGUUCAUCACGAUAUAUUUUAUUAUUCAAGAUUCAUGAUUUCUAUAGGUAGGGUUUCCUUUCUUUCUAAUCUUAAAAAAUCUCCUUUUCCAAUUUCAUAGUUUGUAAGAACUGGAGAGUAGUCCCAGUACUCACAAUUAGGGGUGGCAAUUCGGGUCCAAAUCAGGUUGACGGGUCGGGUUCGGGUCAACCCGUCAGAAAAUCUGUUGACCCGAACCCGACCCGCCAACCCGUGACAGGUCAGGUAUGCUGACCCGAAUCCGAAAAUUUCGGGUUGGCGGGUCAACCCGAAAUGAUCCGAAACUUAAUUUUAAUUUAUUAAUUUAUCACUGUAAUUUCUAAUAAAAUCAAUUUCUCACAAAACUAAUUACAUAAUCAAGUAAUAAAAAUUUAAAUAAAUAAUUCCAAACCAAAUCUAAAAUAAAUUAAACACCGUAAAAGUGUUUUAUCCCAAACAAAAUAUAAAAUAAAUUAAAACAAUAUAAAAGUAAAAAAUAAUAUAAUAUAUUCUUUGUCCAAAUAUAAUAAUUUCAACUUCACACAAAUUAAAUAAAUUCAUUUAGGAUUAAGUAAUUAAUGCCUUUGAAAAAAAGAAUAACUUAGUUUAGUUAGAUAAAAUUAUUUUUAUGUUUAUUAAAUUAUUUUUAAUUCGUAAACGGGUUAUAUCGGGUCAUAUCAGGUCACCACGGGUUGACCCGAAAUCGACCUGUUUUCUUUUCGGGUUCAUCGGGUCCAACCCGAUUCUGACCCGAAUUCCCGAAACCUCAACCCAAACCCAUUAAUUUCGUGUUAGGUUCGUGUCGUGUUUUCAGGUCGUGUCGAAAAUUGCCACCCCUACUCACAAUCCUGUAUUUCGCCAGACACAUUAGUACAGUUUUGGUGAUAUCAAUUUUUUAUAAUUAUUUAGGAUUUAUCUUUUUUUAUAUUGACCAUGCAUUCAAUAGUAUCAUUGAACGUAUAACAAUUAAUUUAAAUUUGAAUUUAAAAUCUAAAUUUUAUACAUUUCAAUGUGUUUACACUAUUAAUACUAGGUGCAUUUAAUAAAAUUGAAAUUUGAAAUCUGAAUUUUGAAAUCUGAAUCUAUUAAAUUACUAAAUUGUUAAUUAUUAAAUAUGAUACAUUUGAAUGCACUUAUUUUUUUGGAGCAAAUUUUGUUUAAACAAUUCAGUGUCAUUUAAUUAAUUCAGAUGUUCCACUUUUUUUAUGAAGCACAUCUGAAUAUAUUAAGAUUUAAAUUUAUUAAAUUUAAAUGCUAAAUUGAAUUAUCAAAUAGAGCUUAUAUAAACUUACGACGAAAUUCUCGUUACAAAUUCGUAGAGGCACUUGUUAGUGAUGAAAAUCAAAACGGAUUUGCUAUACGAGCCCAUUAAUUGCCCAGAUUUGGCAACUAAAGUUGAGUAAGACAUUUGAAUACAUUUAUUUUGCAAGAAAAAUUAUGGGUUUGUAGAAGUGAACAAUCAGUAGAGGCCGAAAAAUGGAAUUUAUAGCUUGGACUAAGACACUGCAACACCUGACCAAUUUUGUUACACCUUCGGCCCAUUUUGGUUACCAUUUUCAAGCAGUCUGCCUCAAAUUUCCAUUUUUAGGUUCCGUUUGAUAAAACUGAAUUUGAAUUCUGAAGUCUGAACUCUAAAAUCUAAAUACUGAAACAAUUAAUUUACUGAAUUUUAAGCACUGAAAAGAAAUAUAUGAAUGUCUGAAUUUUAAUGUUGAACCUAUUUAUAUUAUUUGAUACGCAUUUAUACUGAAUGCUUAAUAAGUUAAAUUCUUAUAUCUUUUCAUCCAAAAAAGAAAUAGAACCUAUGAUUUAAUUAGUUUAAAAUUUUUAGGCAUGAAAAUGACAAUAUUUAUUUUUAAAUCAAAUUAAUAUAAAAGAUGAAAUAUAUUAUAUGAUGGGUAUGGAGAAGAUGUGAAAGUCAUUAGAAAGGAAGAAAAGAGAAAUAGAAAAUCAUUAGAUAGAGAAUAUUAAGUUGUUUAAUUAGAUAAGAAUUUUGAAUAUAAUUAAUAAAUAAGGGUAGAUUUGGUAGAUAACAUAAGAUAGUUGAAGUUAUUCUAUUGAUUCUUAUCAAAAUUAAGCAAUUAAUUAGGAUUCUUGUGUUGAAAAAAAUACACACAAGUUCAGCACUACUUAACAAAUUCAGCAAAUGUAUUUUCAUUUAUUAAACACUCAAAACAUCUGAAUGUCUGAAAAAGUUCAGAUUCAGUACUUUUUAAUGUUAUCAAACAGACCCUUAGUAUAGGACAACCCAGGUCACCGGAUCUCCUAAGCUUGGUCAAAAAAAAAAAAAAAAAAAAAAAUUGCUCACUCUGAAUUGAAUUGUUUAAAGUAAAUUAUCAGGAUCCGUUUGACUGAGCAUGUUUUUUGGUGUUUGUUUUAGGGAAAAAAAUUAAUGUUUGUUCAAAACUAUUUAUUUUUCCAAAAAAAAAAAUUUCCUAUCUAAUACUAUAUGUUUAUUGAUAUUUUUUAAAAUUUAUGAGUAUUUUAGAGUGCUAUCGUAAAUAACUAGACUUUCCAUACCUUCAAAACAGAGCUGCCAAAACAGUCCUAUCAAUCUUAAUUCGAACUAGUCAAAGAGAGGUAAAAAACAGAUUUUAUUCUCCAGAAAUCAAAUCAAACUAGUCAAAGAAAAGAAAAGAAAAGAAAAGAGGAUGCUUGUGGGAUUUUCUAUCGAGAGAUCAACUUCAAGAUAAUAGCACAGCAAACAAAAAGAUUGGAAGACUCGCUUAUUGGAAUAUUCCUGUAGUGGACAAAAAGAUUGGAAGACCUUUUAUGAUUCUAUUAUCGGAAUACUAAACAGUCAAAUGAAUGGAGGACCCAUAGAUCUUAUUAAUCUAGCUCAAAAAUCUUGAGAAAUCAAUAACGCAAUAUAGCUAAAAAUCCUUUAGAAAUCAACUGUGUGAAAUUUAGACACUUGACAGGUGACGAAACUGUGUAAUAAUAAAUACUUACUCACGAAAAUAUAUAAACGAAUAUAAUGGUAAAUAAGAUUGUUUUUACAGGGACCAGGAGAAGAAUUUGUCUCUUUCCAAAUAAAAACUAAUUGAGAGUUUUGAGAAAUUAAAAUUAAAAUAAAUGAUCAGCGUAAAUAAAAAAUAAUUAAAUUAAGACAAAUUAAAUUCAAAUCAAGAAUAAACAAGCUCUAGUCAAGGAAAAAAUUUCAAAAGUGGUUCAUAAAACAGUUCAUCAAUGCAAUAAUUAUUUCAUCUAUACAUUAAAAAACAGGUUAUAGUUGCCAAUAUGCGAUGACAACCAACUUUUUCUUACCGUCUCGAUAGUUAAAGUACGUCCGUUAACUACUUUCCUAACCAAAAAAUAACGCUAGGUACCCCCAGAGAAUUUAAUUUUUUGAUUACAUUAUAAAAUAGAAAAAUCAUGUUCUAAUCAAUAAACACACUACCAAAAUUUAUUUAAAUUAGAUUAUAUGUUUUCCUAACAUCACGCGAGUCACCAUUAAUUUAAAAUAAUUAAAUAAUUAUGAAUUUAAUUGUCUUAAGUGGCGUUAGUUUGCUAAGGUGAAUUAAAUAUCGGGUGCUUUUGAUAUUCAAUCAACAAAACAACCAUAAAAAAUUAAAUUAGAAAAAAUAUAUGAAUACUAACAAAUAGAAGAAAUAGGUAAAAUAAUUAGAUCUUACAGAUGCAGUUGAACCAAAUCGUUCACUAUCUCUUGACUAGAAAAAGAAAAUUGGUUGCCUUCCAUUGGGAAUAAACCAAGCAACUUCAUUGAUAAAUGUUGUAUCAGCUGGGUUCGAUAAUAGACAAUGAAAGGGAAAAGAAAAGCCAAGAAACGACCGCCCCUCGUUCUUGCCUCUAGUCCCGGCUAAAUAAAUAGAUUCUCUCUCAAAAUUUAUCAAAAGCCAAAUCCUUCCUCGACAUGUUUCCUUUCGAAGCUAUUACUUCUACUAAUAUUUCUAAUUUCCUAUGAAAGGAAUAUUUUCCUAAAUUAACAUAAGAUAAUUCAUUGUUGUUUUCCAAUACAAUUUGGAAACACACUUCUUAGGUCUUCAACUUAAAUUGAGAAACUACCACGCACAUAAUUUUCAACUUCUCCGGACUUGAAGGCUAACUUUAGGUUCGGCCACGAGGAACAAGUUAAAAAUCUUCAUUAAACCACUUUUUACUUCAUUUCUUGUCAAAUUCCUAUGGUCAGUACCAAUUGUCAAAUAUAAGUAGAAUCCAUCUAAUGCUAUAAUAUUUGGCAAAUAUCAAGGGAAAAUAUUCACAAUUUAAUAUCCAUUAUGCAUCCUAUCAAUUCCUCGCACACCUAAACCAUGUUUAUUCUUAAGUAUGAAAACAACCAAUCAAACAAUCGCGUUCAAACAGUGGCUAUCACUCAAAUCAUUUAUUGCCAACGUAUAAUUAAAACACACGUCAAGCAUUAGUGGCUAGUUUUUAAGAAAUAUCUCUCCGAUUAGUUUUUAAAACCAAUAACUUUUUCACUUUCUAAAUCACUAAUCUAAGAAUAUAAAUAUUCAACCAACAUUCAUUAGCAAAUAGUUCGACUAUUAAGCAAAAUCUCAAUACUAAAACUCAUGGAUUAGUAGGCUAACCAUUCACAUACUCUUACUUUCAUAUACAUUUUUUCAUUUUUCACCAUUAGCACAACUUUUUUCUCCUUUCUAAGAUGUCCUUAUAUUUGAUUUUUUCCUAUUUUUAGGGGGAAUGCUUGGUUCUUAACCAUUCAAGUUUUUUAACCUGAAUUUCAGCAUCUACCAAAUAAAUCAAUCCGGUUACUCAAUUCUCAUUGCCAUCGAAUCACAUACUUAUAAUUAUUGUCACUUUUUAAUGCGAAAGUCGACACUUGUGAUAAAAAUUCCCUGUUAACAGACAGCGAUAAUUAGUGCAGUAUAGCCAACUACUUGUCAUAAAUAAGUAUCAAAAAUAAAAUUAAAAACCACAUCAACCUACUUCAUUUUUCAACUACGAAGAACUAAAAUUAAUAAUUGAACCAAUAUUUAUUAAAAAUGUCAAAAAAUAUUUACAAUUCAUAAAAUCUCAAAUAUCAUCAGAGAGAUACUUUUAGAUCUUACUAUAUCAUACUUAACACAUUAAUAUAUAAAAUCUUAGUAAUAAAAAAUUUGAGACAUUUAGCCAUUAUUGAUUAGAAUUAACCACAAAAUUGCACAAAAAUGAAAAAAAAUAAAUAAAAUUCAAAAACUUUAACAAAAAGUUCAAUCUAAACGCCUAAAAGGAAUAGUACCACUAUACUAUACCCCCCAAAAGAAUCGAAAGGGAACAACAAAACUUUUUUGAUCAGCGAGGGGGGUAUAGCAGCUAUGGAUAAGGGGCAAAAGGAGGAGUACAAUAGACAGAAUGGUUGCAGCGCUGACCAUAACUAGCAAAGGCGAGCAGUGAUGAUGACGUCCAAACUCGAUGACAUUUUCUAAAUGGCGAUGGAAAAGAGUUCGUCGUUUGGAAUAUAAGGGGGAAAGAAAAAAAAUGAAAAGAAAGAAAGAGAUAAGGAAAAAGAAAGAAAAGAAAAGAAAGAGAAUAAUUAGAAUUUUGGGAUUUUUUUGCUCCCCUUUGUUGGAAUAAGACGCGGGCAUGUCUUAUUACUCUGUAGUUUUCUAAUAAUGAUUUUGAAAUUUUUACGAGAUUCAGCGCGCUCUCAAAACGUGGCACGUUUUGUUUCCCGGUUGUCUUUUGAAAUUUUUGAAAUUGAAAUAUGAACUUGCCAGUCAGUUAGACGUGGGCACGCCUUGCUGGAUAGCAGUUUUCUAUCCACUAAAAUAGUAAAACGAAAGUCAAACACAUAAAAUAUAAGAAAUUUAAACUAAAAAUAAUAAAAAUGAUAACAAUGAACUUAAAAUUGAAUUAGGUUGUCUCCUAAUAAGUGCCUUUUUUUAACGUUCUUGGUUAGACAUAAUGUAUCAUUUUUCAAUUCAAUUGUAAUUCAAACUUUCUUGCAAUUGAUGAAAUUUCUCCAGGAUCCAAAUCACCACUAUAUAUAAUCACCUUCUUUAACUUUUUAUCCAUUUUCACAUCAUAAGUUACUUUUAACCCAUGAUGCUUGGUCGCAACAAUUUUUAACUUACCCCUGUAAUUAGAUUCAGAAAAUUCUCGCACAAAGAGAUUAAUAGUAUAAAUGACAAACAUAAAAUGAGAGUUAAUAGGAUAUUUCAUUGCGUCAAAAAUAUUAAAAUGGAUUACUUCUUCAACAAAUUCUAUCGUAAGAAUAACCUUACUAACAUCAAUCUUAGUUUGAAUAGUACUCAAGAAGGAUUUCCCUAAUAUAAUGGGUGAUGAAUUUGAAACGCUUCUAUCAUUCAUCUAAAGCACAUAAAAAUUAGUAGGAAAAACUAAAUCCAUUAACUUGCACUAAAAUAUCUUCAAUCACCCCAUCCGAAUAAGCAAAUGAAUAAUUAGAUAAUUAAAUUAUUAUCCCCGUUUCUUUUCAAAAAUCCUAAAUUUAGAGAAUCAUAAAUAGAUUUAGAUAUCACAUUAAUAGAAGUCCUAAAUCUAGUAUGAUAUUUUUUAAUUCUAAAAUAUCCAAUCGUACAGGGGAUAGUAAACAUACCUGAAUUCCCACAUUUAAGUGUUAGUUUUCUUUGUAAAAUCACUGAAACAUUUUCAUCUACAUGAUUUGCUCAUCCCCUUUUAAUUUCUUCUUAUUAAUGCACAAGUUCUUAAAAAAUUUAGUACAUUUUGAUACUUGUUUGAUUGUUUCAAUAAAGAGAUAUUGAUUGCCAUCUUCCGGAACAUCUCCAAAAUUUCUUUUUCUUUGACUUGUCGUUUUGACAUCUCCAACCUAUUAGGGAAAGGUUGGGGUUAGUAUUAAUUUUAAUUGAAGAGUCCAAAGUUACCACAAGAGUUGCCUUGUUUAUUUCUUCUUUUUUCAACUCAUUUUUAAUUUGAUUUUCGCUCUUAUCCUUCGAAACUAUAGUUUUGGACCUUUCAAUUUCCUUUCCACUUUGAAGGGUCAUGGCGCUAACGUUCUUAGAAUUCACCUCAAUCUGAGAAAGGAGUCUUCCUUUCUCUUGAGACUCCAAGCAAUGUAUUGUAUGGGUCAUAUGACUCAUCUGAUUUUAUAUAUCUCGUAUACUUGGCUUCGUUUUUUGUUGGAAUUGCAAAGUAUUAGAAACCAAUAUUUUUAGCAUAUCUUCUAGAUGGUUAUGAAUUAGGAGUAACGGGUUAAGGUCUUGAUAGAUACUGCAGUUGGAAUCCUUGCUGUCUAUUGGAAAAGAAAUUUUGUUGCUUAUUUUUCUCAUAACUGAAAUUUGGGUGGUCCCUACAACCUAAAUUGUAUGUGUUGGAAUAAGAAUUAUAUUGUUUGCAUGGCGCAGACACGUUACCAUCCAUGUUCAUUUGUUCAACACUAUCAUCCUGUAGCAUCGGGCAUUUAUUAGUAAGAUGGCUAGUAUCUUUGCAAAUUUCACACGCCUUGACUUGUUCCCUACUGCCAUCUGUCAAAUCAUAGAUGUUAAUUCAGACAAUUGCACUUGAAGUAAUGAAAUAUUCACCUCGUUCACUCGACGAGUUGGCACAUCAUCCCAUGUGCCAAAUUAUUGGGAAUUAUCAGCCGUCUCUUCAAUCAAAUCCCAAGUUUAUCGAGGAGUCUUGUUCACUAAUGCACCUUCACUUGUGGCAUUAGUGAUGCUUCUAUUUCUAUAGAGUAAGCUUUUAUAAAAGUAUUGAAUGAGCAAUUGAUCACUGAUUUGGUGCUGCAGGCAAUUGGUGCACAAUUUUUUAAAUAUUUUUCAAUGCAUAGAUAUUCUCUGGGUUGCUGCUUAAUACCAUAAAUUUCUUUUUACAAAUUGGUAGUUUGGGAUGUAGAAAAAUUUUUAGAAAAAUUUUUUUCUUCAUAUCUAUCCAUGUUGUAAUGCUCCCCACGAGCAAAUAGUAUAGCCAAUUUUUGACAGCUUCUUUUAAUGAAAAAUGGAAGGCUCGCAUCUUAAUCUGCUCCUCUGUGACAACAAGUGGCUUCAUACUCAAACAGACAACGAUGAACUUGUUAAGGUGUUUGUGGGACUCUUCACCUGAUAAACUAUGAAAAUUAGGUAAGAUGUAAAUUAAUCUUGAUUUUGAUUCAUAUGUUACAUUUUUAACAAAAUCAGAAAAAGUAAUGACGUUACUGAUUUAAAUCAGGAGCAGCCAACUCCGUUAAGGCCCGGUUAUUGUUUGUCAUCGUAACUUCUUCCUGCUCAGAAUCAUAGGAAGAAUCCAAUAAAUUCACAACCAAAUUAAACCCCAGAGAUGCAGCAAAUGAUUGUUCUCCCUUUCAUAUUCUAGUUUCUUUUCACAACCUACGUGCAGUCUUCUUAACCUCGGGAUUGAAGAUUAAAUCACUUGUACGAGAAAAAUAAGGUAUAAACUAGCAAAAAUAUCAAAAACUAAAAUAAAAUAAAUACAAAAAAAUUAAUCAACGCCAAUCCCCGACAACGACGCUAAAAAUUGACAGGUGUCGAUCUUAUGCAAUAAUAUAUUCCUGCUCACGAAAAUAUAUAAACGAAUAUAAUAUUAAAUAGAGCCAUUUUCACAAGGAUUAGGGAAAGAAUUUAUCUCGGUUCAAGUAAAAAACUAAUUGGGAAUUUUGAGAAAUUAAAAUUAAAAUAAAUGAGCAAUGUAAAUAAAAAUAAUUGAACUAAGAUAAAUUAAAUUCAAAUCAAGAAUAAACAAACUCUAGAUAAGGAAAUAAUUUCGGAAGUGGUUCAUACAACAGCUCAUCGAUAGAAUGAUUAUUUCAAUUACUCGUUAAUAAACAGGUUAUAGUUGCCAAAUACGCGAUGACAAUCAAUUUUUUCUUACCAUCUCGAUAGUUAAACUAUACCAGUUAACUAUUUUUCUAACCAAGAAACAAUCCUAAGCAUAUCCAUAGAAUUUAAUUUCUUGAUAGUCUUAAAAAUUAAAAAAGUCCUAUUCUAAUCGAUAAAAUCACUACUUGAAUUUAUUUAAAUUAGAUCAUAUAUUUUCUUAACAUGAAACGAAUCACGUUAGGCACCACUAAUUGAAAAUAAUUAAACAAUUACAGAUUUAACUUAACUGGCGUUAGUUUGCUAAGUUGAAUUAAAUAUCGAGUGCCCUUAAUAUUCAAUCAACAAAACAACCAUGAGAAAUUAAAUCAGAAAACGUACGAAUUUUUUUUUAUCGAAACGUUAGGAUCAUUUUCAUUCCAAAGUGUAAACCACACAGUACGAGCAAAUGCUCGAAAUAUCUGUACAAACCAGAGCUCAAAAGCACUGAGGAACAAUCCAUUCCUCAUCCACUAUUAUGCCAAAGGCAUGAUGACUUAAACAUUUACUUCUUUCUAUUCUUUCAUCCCUAACAGACCUAAACAAGCACAUGCGAAACAAUCUCUGCAUGUUAAGAAUGUCCUCUAUCAAAGUAGCUAAACUGCUGUUGGAGGGGCACCUAUUCUUCAUCUGUCUCAUCAGAUCUUGGUUAUGGAAAUGGAUCGCAAUUCUGCUCCAUCCCUGCUCUAGAGCUUUACACAGAAUCAGUUUUAUGGCCACUGCAUCAUUAAUGGUUCUGUUACCCAAACUUCUCUCUCUAAGUGCCCAUUCUGCCAGUAAAGUGUUUGGAUGCCUCCGCACUCUGACCCCAAUCCCCAAAGGGACUUUCCCUACCUGACUCUCUGUUGCCACCUCCAUAACAAUUGUGUCUGCUUCUUCUAGCUCUUGAAAAGGUUCUUCAGUGAUGGGAGUUGUUUUUCCUGUGCUUAGCCUAGUUAUCCUACUUAAGCUUCCCUCCUGUUCCAACCACUCCUUAUGGGCUUUACUUAUAGUCCUAGCUGGUAAACAACUGCCUUUGUUUUCAAACUCUUUUUUGUUCCUUUCUUUCCACACCUGCCAUAAAAUGUUCGCUGUCAGACCAAUAUGCUCCAUCCCUCUUGGCCUUCUCCUAGCUUCUGAUACUGUGAUCCGCCAUCGUUUAAAACUCCCUUGCUGGUCCACCACACCAUCCCACUUUAUUGGAGCAACCUUCCAGACCUCCUGUGUGUGCGGGCAGCUGAAGAAUAAGUGUUCCACUGAUUCUUGUUCUUCCCCACACAUUCGACACACUGGAUCUCCCAACCUUGUCUUCCUAUAGAUUUCAGCUCGCACUGGUAGUGCACCUGUUAUGCAUUUCCAAAUGAAAAUUUUGAUCUUAUGUUUAAUGUUGAGCUUCCAUAAUGUUUUCCACAUUUGUCUGGCUGACUGACUUCCUUCUCUGAUGCUUGAACCAGCGGCCUCUACUUGUUCCUUUUCAGCUUCACUUCUCUCCUUCAUAAGGAAUUGAUAGCCUGAGCUGACCGUAUACUGCCCCCCUGCAUUAUGCUGCCAAUAAUAACAGUCCUCUCUCCCAGUCAGACUUAAGGGGAUGUUUAAGAUCUUCUCAGCAUCCUUAUGAUUGAAAUACUUAAAGAUGGUGUUCCUAUUCCACCUCUGUUGGUUAAUUAACUCAUGCACCAUCUUACAUUCAGAAUUUAGAGGUCUUGGAGUAGUUGGCUUCCCAGAACUGGAUCCAGGAAUCCAUCGAUGACCCCAAAUACUUGUACUCCUCCCAUUGCCAAUCCUUCUAAUCAUUCCUUGAUCAAUUAAGCAUCUGGCUCCUAGUAAUCCUUGCCAGAACCAAGACGCAUUCCUAUAUGUUUUGCAUGAUAAGAUGGAGUCUUUGGGGAAGUACCUAGCUUUCAGCACUUUACUAACCAGAAGGUUCGGUUUAGUGAUUAUCCUCCAAAUCUGCUUCCCAAGCAAGGCUUUAUUAUAAGCUUCAAUGUCCUUGAAUCCCAGGCCUCCUUCAUUCCUCUUCAUUGACAUUUUCCUCCAGGAAACGCAAUGCAUUUUAUUCUUGCCAUUUGUUUCUCCCCACCAGUAGUUGGCCAUCAGAGAGCUGAUGUCUUUACACAUCUUCCUAGAUAGUUUGAAAACAGACAUGGCAUAAGUAGGCAUUGCCAUUGACACUGCCUUGAGGAGUACUUCCUUACCUGCAUUACUCAGAAACUUAUUCCUCCAGUCCUGCAUCUUACUUCUUAUAUUUUCCUUGAUGAACCCAAAGAUCUGGUCAUUAGUCCUGGCAAUCACCAUUGACAGCCCCAAAUAUUUGCCUUGUUUUAUCUCUGCCAUUCCUCCUAUGGAACUGCACACUUCACUUCUAAGCUCCCUCGAUACAUUCUUGCUGAAGAAGAUAGCUGAUUUAUCCAAGUUGACCAACUGUCCUGAAGCCUUUUCGUAUGUUCUGAGAAUUUUCAUGAUUUCAGUAGCUUGCCUGGUGUUGGCUUUACAAAAAAUGAGUGAGUCGUCAGCAAAGAAAAGGUGAGUGAUGAGAGGACCUUGCCUGCUGAUCCUCAGACCAUUUAAGUCCUUCCUCUCCUCUGCUUUCUUCAAUGGGUUGGAGAAUCCUUCUGAGCAUAUCAGAAAUAAGUAUGGAGACAGAGGGUCUCCCUGCCUUAUUCCCCUUUCUGGAGUAACAAAACCUUUCGAUUCCCCAUUGCAGUUGAAGGAAUAAGUUACUGAACUCAAGCAGCUAGUAAUCCAGUUGAUCCAUCUUGCACAAAAGCCCAUCUUCUGCAUCAUAACUUGCAAAAAAUGCCACUCCACUCUAUCGUAUGCUUUGGCCAUGUCAAGCUUAAUUGCCAUGAAACUUUCUUUCCCUUGUCUUUUAUUUUUGAGGUAAUGCAUGUACUCAUGACCUAGGAUUACAUUAUCUAAAAUCUGCCUAUCUGGGAUAAAAGCUGAUUGGGUGUUGCUAAUGCAUUUUCCUAGAACCUGUUUCAUUCUAUUGGCCAAAAUUUUGGAGAUGGCUUUGUAUAUAACACUACACAAGCUGAUGGGUCUGAAGUUCUUCAAGCAAGAAGGGUGCAAAGUUUUGGGGAUGAGGGAAAUAACCGUGUGAUUUAUAGAUUUUAGCAUGUGGCCUGAGCUGAAAAAGGCUUGAAUGGCUGGAGUUAGAUCCCCUUUGAUAAUGCUCCAAAACCUUUGAAAGAACAAGGGGGACAUGCCAUCCUGACCUGGGGCUUUAUCAGACUGCAUGGAAAAAAUAGCUGACUGAAUUUCUUCUUCCUCUACUGGUUUAGUCAAAUUUGUAUUCAUAUCCUGAGUAAUAGAGUGGGGAAUACCCUCAAGGAUCUCUGCCAUCUCAUUCCUUCAUCCACUUGUAAACAAUUCUCGAAAGAACCCAGAAAUUUCUGAUACUAUUUUUUCUUCACUUUCAGCCCAAGAGCCAUUCUCCCUCUGCAGUUUUCUGAUUCUAUUCUUAAUCCUUCUCCCCUUCACCAAGGCAUGGAAGUACUUGGUGUUUUUAUCUCCUUCCCUGAGCCAGUCAAGUCUAGCCUUUUGGCUCCAGAAUUUCUCCUCCUCCUGAUAUGCUUCCUUAAGCUGGUGUUUAAGCUCAGUCCUCUUCUCCUUCUUACUGGGAGCCUCAGAGCUACUUAAGGCCUCCAGUCUUUCCUUUACCUCUGCAAUUUUCCUUUUAGAGUUUGCAGCAAACGUGUUCCUCCAUUUUAGUAACUCAAUUCUACAGUUCCUGAUUUUCCUUGUUAUCUUAAACAUUCUUGAACCAGGUUCAUCCCUUUGCCAAGCUUGCUCGACUACCUGUUGCACCCCUUCCUUAUGCAACCAUCUUUUAUCAAAAAAGAACCUUUGUUUCCUUUUCCCCUUUUCUGGAUCAGUGUCUAAGCACAAAAUGCUGUGGUCAGAAGCAUAAGUGUCCAUAUGCUGGCAUUUAGCUUUAUCAAAAGUUUGCACCCAUUCAUAACUGGCCAAGCAUCUGUCUAAUCUUUGCCUAAUUUCUCCUUCAUUCUCCCAAUGAUUACUCCAAGUCCAUGGGUGUCCCUCAAAGCCUAUAUCUAUUAAGUUACUCUGCUCUAUAAAGGUCUUAAAAUCCCUGAAGCUGCUCUCCUCUCUGAAAACACUCCCCCAUUUUUCUCCAUUUGACACUAUAUCAUUAAAAUCACCUGCUAUCAUGUAUCUAUCUCCCCACAACCUGCUCCUAUCUCUCAAAACUCUCCAUUGUUCCUUACUUAUCUGUCCAUCACAACUCGCAUAAACUCCUAUAAACCACCAGUCACAAUGCUUAUCAUCAUCCUCUAACCUGACUUCAAUAGUGAAGGCUGUUAGAUUAACUUCCAGAACUUGUGUACCCUCUUUCCAAAAAACUGCCAUUCCUCCUGCCUUGUGCAUGGCUUCUACCACUGCACUGUUGUCAAAACGUAAGCUUCUAGCAAUCCUAUCCAAAAUCUGUUUUCUAUUUUUUGUCUCACUUAGGAAAAUAAAGCUUGGAGAGAGGAGGUUAUUAACCUCCCUCAGGUGGGGAACUGUCAAGGGGCUCCCCACUCCUUGACAAUUCCACACCAAAGCCCUCAUUUCCCUUGGGGGGCCCUAUAAGGGAGAGACCCCACCUCCACCUCAGACAAACCUGUGUAUCCAGACAGCUCAAGAGCCUUAGCUUUUUUGCCUACUGGCUCUUUCGAAUACACAUCCUCCAUUUCCUCAUCAAAGACCAGCAUCUUUCUCUUACCACUACCCCCAACGAAAGCUUCCUGUCCAUUUCUCUCUCUCAAAGGCCUUCUUGUCUUAACAGGAGAUUUCAGCUUUUUAUAAGACCUUUUAACUUGCUUUGUCAUAGCUCCUUGCCUCUUUACCUCACAAAGGCUUUUCUCCUGCAUAGCUGCCUCAAAGACUGGUAUCUCUUGUAGGCUGUUCUCCUGCUCCAGCCAUUUUGCACUCUCAUCUCUAACCUCAACCAUUUCCUCCUCUACUACUAAAGUCACUCUUUUCUCAGUUCUGACCUGCGAUAUCAGCAAGAGGUCCUGAUUUUCCUUAGUCAAGGCCUGAGAGCCAUCACUGAGGUCCCUAUCCUUUCCACUACUGUCCCCUUUAUAUGGGGGGCUACUUCGAAGAUUUUCCACCCUUUCCUUCUCCUGCUCUUUAACAACCUCUGGAGAACUCUUCGUUCCUAGCCCUGAAGACCUCAACGUCUCCAGGAUUUUCUCUCCAGCCUGCAUCCUGGUCCUUUCCCUCUCAACCAUUUCUCCAUUCUGAAACUUCCAAUACCUUUUAUCCUUCACCAGGUCCUCUCUCACUGUCCUAUCCUUUGUUGGACUUCUAUUACUUCCUGCUCUCAGCCACGGCCCAUAUUGAUUCUCCAAGAGGGUCCCUGAUGAAUUCCUUUGUUCUUGACACGUACGUUCCCCGUGCCCAACUAUACCACAGCUGUAACAGAAAUCCGGGCAUCUUUCAUAUUUAAAGGCAACCCAUUUGAGUGACUCUGCUACAUUAACCAACGUUCCUCUGAGGAGGGGUUUAGACAAAUCUACCAGGGCAAGAACUUUAAGAUGUCUUCCCUCUUUUCCUCCUGCCUGAGGUAUAAUCACUUCUUUUGCUUCUCUAAAAACUGCGCCAAUCUUUCUCCCUACCUCCUUGGACAGCCAGUGCACUGGCAGAUUCCACAUUUGUACCCACAAAAGUGCAGUUGUAAAAGCUCCAUAGUUAUCUUCUACUCCCUCAGACCAUCUGUUCAGCACUAGAACUUGGUUGUCCAUUAUCCAAGGACCUCCUGUCACUAUCCUUUCUUUCUCUUCUACAUUUGGGAUAUUAAACUGGAAUAGAUUCGGUCCUAACUCCAUAACAGUCAAGUUCCUGGGGUAGCUCCAUGCUGCUGUCACGAAGUUUUUCACUCCCGUAAAGUUGGCAAUUUUUUCCCCCAUAAUUCUCCCUAUCAAACUGUCUGCACAAUCUCUCCUCCCACUACUAAGGUCCUCAAGCUCCAACUUAGCUCCUGAUAUCUCGUUCCCUUCCAGAGAAAACUUUUGUAACAAUUCAGCCAGGUCUCCCUCCAUAGAUGAGCUAGAGAUGCUAGCGGGUAUUCCUUCUACGUACUUAGGAAGAAAGAACUCUUCGACUUCCAGACAGGAAAAAACAAAAACACGAACCCAAGAGAAGAAAAACAGACAACGUAAGAAAAGGCUCACAGAAGGCCUACCUUACAGAGAGAAUACUUUAGAAAAAGACAUAACAAGGUUGACCACACAACAAGACGACAGACAAGGGUCUCAGACAACUCCAAAACACUACCAGACAUGUACUACCUCAGAAAUAGGAACAAGUAAAAGUAAAGGGCAAACAAGAUUCACCUGGCUUUCAGCUACCAUAAAGUGGAGACUUUAAGAUGUCCGUUGUUCCCUCAGGAGAGACCUCCUAGAAGCUCUCUGAGUGCGAUAGUUGAGCUGCAUUAAACAAGCAUUUGAUGCAGACCAGAUCGGUAGUGGUGAUGUUCAUCGAAGUUAGAUUGGAAGGUGUUGAUUAGCCAUAAAUUUUGAAAAAGUUUGAAUUUUGAAGAACUCCCACCAAAAGGGAGGUAAGCUCUUAUCCCAAGAGAGAGCGUCAUCUACGCAAAGAGAGGAGUCACUUUACGUCAGAAAACGUACGAAUACUAACAAAGAUUGUGUAUUGGAAGAAAACGUGGACGUAUAUAAGACAAACACAAAUCUGAAAAUGUUGAUGCUUCACUUUCAUUUAACUAGACUCGUCAAAGUUUCGGUCCUGCAAUUCAAGCUCUAAAAUUUGGGGAGGUCCAUUUCUUAAAUUCAAACCUGUCCCUUAACUAAUAGUACAUUGCUUUAAGCGGUCUUAGAAAUGUUAAAAACAGAAUAGACACUAGAAGAUGCUGCUGGUGUUUUUCUAAAAUUGCCUUCUUAUUCUUAGUCAAAAUUUGCAUGGAAAUGAAACAGGAAAAGGUGGCUUGUGAAGAAAAGUUGUAGCCGAUCAAUGUCGUGUGACUUUUUAAUUUUUUUUUUCAACAUCGGAGUAUCCCAACUUUGUCAGAUUAAUGUCGUGUGAUUAGUAACAGCAAAAUUGAGGUGGUGUUUUGAGAUUUUUUGUGAGGACAAUAAUGGAACCUAAAAUAUUGCGACCAUAUUUUGUUUCAGCGACUCCUAUUAAGUUUCCAAAUGAGUCUGCUUUAGCCCGAAGACCAUUCUCAGAUUACGCGUCUCUAAGCACGAAAGUACAGGCAAAAUAUUUGCUGAUCCGGGGGUUAAUCUCUAAACAAGACAGAUCAUCAUUCAAUUAAAAAAAGUUUUAAAUUCCUUUACGGCUUUGUUUUGUGUAUGUGGGUGGCGUUUAAUCAGCUGUUAACUUGUUUACUUAGCAUUGAGCAUUGACAUAGAAAGAUAAAAGAAUUUUAGAUUAAAUAUUGAUUCACAGUAGAUAGAAAUAAUAAAAGCAAGGUCUUCUGUCAGAAUGAUAAUUGAGAUCGGGAAAAACAAAGCUUUUAUGCAAAAUUGCUGACUACUAUUCAUUAUUACUUUAAACUAAGCUUGAUUGUUUACAAAUAAAUGAAUAACAUAUAUCACACACUCUCUCUCUAUAUAUCUAUAUAUCCACCGAGUGGAGUGGAGUGGAGUGGAGUGGAUAAUGCUUCAAAAUGCCCAGCCCUUUUUACAUUGAGGAUUGAGCAUUCAAGCAAAUCUAUACACAAACAUUUUUUAUGCUUCCAAGUGCCUUGCUCAGGAGAUGAAUGAUGAUAAACGCAGCUUCGCUUCCGCAAUGUUGUUAUGACUGCGUCUUUUAUCUCCUCUGGAAGUUGAAAGUUUUAAUGGCGUAGGCAAAUAUGAAGGCAAAAAUUACCGGCAAUCCGACAACUACACCAGCAACAACUGGAAGAAAGUCAUGUUUGAAUCCAAAGUAAUGUCUCAGGUAAUCUUUAAUUAAUUCGCCGUUGUCUUCAAGACGAUCAGACAGAUCUCCCCAUUGGGAUACAAACAGGCCAUACAAGGUCCAAGCCACGGGACAUCCCCAGUAAUACCAUCUCCACCAAAUAGGAAUCCUCUGUUGUUUGACAAGAAAUUCAGAAUUAUUAAAAAGAAAGAAAGAAAAAAAAAAGAGAGAGAGUAAGAUUUCUUGCUUUGCUUUGCAUGCGUGACUAUUAUGGAAAGAAAUGAUGAUGAUAUUUGCACAACUUACCGGUCGGGGGAUGAGGAAUCCAGAAAAGAGAUUCCAUCCAGCAUAAAAGGCAGAUGCGACGACGGCAGAAAUGUUGUGAUUGGGAGUGACAGACACAACCAUCAUGCCAUAGAAGGUGAAGUACAGUAAUGUGAAGUACAUGAGGAACAAGUACCAAAGGAAUUUCGAGGCGGUCCAUUCAAAUCCAAUCAUAGCGUAGGUAAUGACAGAAUAGAAUACAGCUUGUUUAAGGAUGUAUAAAAUCUCAAUUCCAACCUGGAGACAGCAAAACAAUUUAUC